rnacentral:lncRNA from 1 species
AUGGAUCACAAGAAACUGUGGAAAAUUCUGAAAGAGAUGGGAAUACCAGACCACCUGACCUGCCUCUUGAGAAACCUGUAUGCAGGUCAGGAAGCAACAGUUAGAACUGGACAUGGAACAACAGACUGGUUCCAAAUAGGAAAAGGAGUACAUCAGGGCUGUAUAUUGUCACCUUGCAUAUUUAACUUAUAUGCCAAGUAUAUCAUGAGAAACGCUGAGCUGGAAGAAGCACAAGCUGGAAUCAAGAUUGCCAGGAGAAAUAUCAAUAACCUCAGAUAUGCAGAUGAUACCACCCUUAUGGCAGAAAGUGAAGAACUAAAGAGCCUCUUGAUGAAAGUGAAAGAGGAGAGUGGAAAAGUUGGCUUAAAGCUCAACAUUCAGAAAACGAAGAUCAUGGCAUCUGGUCCCAUCACUUCAUGGCAAAUAGAUGGGGAAACAGUGGAAACAGUGUCAGAAUUUAUUUUUAUGGGCUCCAAGAUCACUGUAGAUGGUGAUGGCAGCCAUGAAAUUAAAAGAUGCUUACUCCUUGGAAGGAAAGUUAUGACCAACCUAGAUGGCAUAUUAAAAAGCAGAGACAUUACUUUGCCAACAAAGGUCCAUCUAGUCAAGACUAUGGUUUUUCCAGUGGUCAGGUAUGGAUGUGAGAGUUGGACUAUAAAGAAAGCUGAGCACCGAAGAAUUGAUGCUUUUGAACUAUGGUGUUGGAGAAGACUCUUGAGAGUCCCUUGGACUGCAAGGAGAUCCAACCAGCCCAUCCUAAAGGAGAUCAGUCCUGGGUGUUCAUUGGAAGGACUGAUGUUGAAGCUGAAACUCCAAUACUUUGGCCACCUGAUGCAAAGAGUUGACUCAUUGGAAAAGACUCUGAUGCUGGGAAAUGUUGAGGGCAGGAGGAGAAGGGGACAACAGAGGAUGAGAUGGUUGGAUGGCAUCAUUGACUCGAUGGACGUGGGUUUGGGUGGACUCUGGGAGUUGGUGAUGGACAGGGAGGCCUGGCGUGCUGCAGUUCAUGGGGUCGCAAAGAGUUGGACACAACUGAGCAACUGA